GUAGUCCCGGCUGUAAACGAUGUCGACUUGGAGGUUGUGCCCUUGAGGCGUGGCUUCCGGAGCUAACGCGUUAAGUCGACCGCCUGGGGAGUACGGCCGCAAGGUUAAAACUCAAAUGAAUUGACGGGGGCCCGCACAAGCGGUGGAGCAUGUGGUUUAAUUCGAUGCAACGCGAAGAACCUUACCUGGUCUUGACAUCCACGGAAGUUUUCAGAGAUGAGAAUGUGCCUUCGGGAACCGUGAGACAGGUGCUGCAUGGCUGUCGUCAGCUCGUGUUGUGAAAUGUUGGGUUAAGUCCCGCAACGAGCGCAACCCUUAUCCUUUGUUGCCAGCGGUCCGGCCGGGAACUCAAAGGAGACUGCCAGUGAUAAACUGGAGGAAGGUGGGGAUGACGUCAAGUCAUCACGGCCCUUACGACCAGGGCUACACACGUGCUACAAUGGCGCAUACAAAGAGAAGCGACCUCGCGAGAGCAAGCGGACCUCAUAAAGUGCGUCGUAGUCCGGAUUGGAGUCUGCAACUCGACUCCAUGAAGUCGGAAUCGCUAGUAAUCGUGGAUCAGAAUGCCACGGUGAAUACGUUCCCGGGCCCUGUACACACCGCCCGUCACACCAUGGGAGUGGGUUGCAAAAGAAGUAGGUAGCUUAACCUUCGGGAGGGCGCUUACCACUUUGUGAUUCAUGACUGGGGUGAAGUCGUAACAAGGUAACCGUAGGGGAACCUGCGGCUGGAUCACCUCC
rnacentral:rRNA from 1 species